rnacentral:rRNA from 1 species
UACGGGGGGGGCAAGCGUUGCUCGGAAUUACUGGGCGUAAAGGGCUCGUAGGCGGCCAACUAAGUCAGACGUGAAAUCCCUCGGCUUAACCGGGGAACUGCGUCUGAUACUGGAUGGCUUGAGGUUGGGAGAGGGAUGCGGAAUUCCAGGUGUAGCGGUGAAAUGCGUAGAUAUCUGGAGGAACACCGGUGGCGAAGGCGGCAUCCUGGACCAAUUCUGACGCUGAGUGAGCGAAAGCCAGGGGAGCAAACGGG